UACGGGAGGCAGCAGUGGGGAAUAUUGCACAAUGGGCGCAAGCCUGAUGCAGCCAUGCCGCGUGUAUGAAAAAGGCCUUCGGGUUGUAAAGUACUUUCAGUCGUGAGGAAGGUGUUAAGGUUAAUAACCUUAGCAAUUGACGUUAGCGACAGAAGAAGCACCGGCUAACUCCGUGCCAGCAGCCGCGGUAAUACGGAGGGUGCGAGCGUUAAUCGGAAUUACUGGGCGUAAAGGGCACGCAGGCGGUUAAUUAAGUUGGAUGUGAAAUCCCCGGGCUUAACCUGGGAAUGGCAUUCAAGACUGGUUAGCUAGAGUCUUGUAGAGGGGGUAGAAUUCCAUGUGUAGCGGUGAAAUGCGUAGAGAUGUGGAGGAAUACCGGUGGCGAAGGCGGCCCCGUGGACAAAGGACUGACGCUCAUGUGCGAAAGCGUGGGGAGCAAACAGGGAUUAGAUACC
rnacentral:rRNA from 1 species